rnacentral:rRNA from 1 species
GAUGAACGCUGGCGGCGUGCCUAAUACAUGCAAGUCGAGCGAACAGACGAGGAGCUUGCUCCUCUGACGUUAGCGGCGGACGGGUGAGUAACACGUGGAUAACCUACCUAUAAGACUGGGAUAACUUCGGGAAACCGGAGCUAAUACCGGAUAAUAUAUUGAACCGCAUGGUUCAAUAGUGAAAGACGGUUUUGCUGUCACUUAUAGAUGGAUCCGCGCCGCAUUAGCUAGUUGGUAAGGUAACGGCUUACCAAGGCAACGAUGCGUAGCCGACCUGAGAGGGUGAACGGCCACACUGGAACUGAGACACGGUCCAGACUCCUACGGGAGGCAGCAGUAGGGAAUCUUCCGCAAGGGGCGAAAGCUUGACGGAGCAACGCCGCGUGAGUGAUGAAGGUCUUCGGAUCGUAAAACUCUGUUAUUAGGGAAGAACAAAUGUGUAAGUAACUAUGCACGUCUUGACGGUACCUAAUCAGAAAGCCACGGCUAACUACG